GAACAGGAAGGGAGGAAGCCGGGACCAGCGCGGCCCAGAAUUCACUCUCCCUGUCAGCUCAGCGCAGCCACCGGGGUCCCUGAGAGGCCCUGGGGACAAGGAAGGAAGCGCCUGUCGCAGGACGCGGAAGGCCCCAGGCCACAGGAAGGCAGAGCGCCAGGGCGGCGAACAGCUCACUUCCGACCCCCCUGUGCCACUGCGGAGCUCAGCUCAGGCGCCCAGCGGAGCCCUCAGGGCAAGGAUCCCAGCGGGGCGUCACUGUGGCCCCAGGAACAAACCAUCAGAUAACUGGGAAAGGGCAGGGUCCUCCUAUGCAGAGGAGUAAGGAGUGCUUGUUGGAGAUGCUCUGCCCUCUGGGGAGCCUAGGUCCCCGCCCUCGCUGGGAGCUGUGCCAGGCCAGCAUUCUCUCAGUUUUCCUGGAAGCUAAACCUCUUCCAAACAAAAGUUAAUCAAGAAAUUUAAAGACCUAAAUUUCACAAGCAAAAGUUCAGGGUGUGAUUUCUAAGGUCACUAGGGAAAAACAAGAAACCAGGUACAUCACUCCUAACUGCGAGAGAAAAGGAAAAGUCAGGUGUGGUGGUGCUCCCCGGCAAUCUCAGAUCUCGGACACUGAGCAAGACCUCUCUCUCUCUCUCUCUCUCUCUCUCUCUCUCUCUCUCUCUCUCUCUCUGAAAAAGAAACAGUGAGGUGAAUUACUUCUGAAGAAAUAACGAAAAGCUUCCAGCCUACUUAGAGGAAGCAAGACAGAGAGGAAGACAGAAUCAGGUGCUAGAAAUAAGCACGAAUAUACGAACAUAUUCUCCUUAUGCUAUGCAUCCUCAUACAAUACUGGCAGAGCUGGGGCCCCUGGCAACCUCAGAGCGUGAUCUCAGCGCAGGGCUCUGCUGCCCUCCGGUGGCCGCUCGGUGUCACUGCAGGCCCCGCCUGCUCUGGUCCCAGGAGGAGAGAGCUCCAGUUUGGGAAGCUGACCUGCAGGGAUGCGCGCCCCUCCUCCUGCCCCCAAGGUCGCCCUCCCAUCCCUCUCCCUUGGGGACAGUUUAGAGCUACCUGUCCACAGAGCCUCACGCACUCACAAGCCGCCUCUGGGAGGUGAUUGCCUCAUGGGCGUGGUACACCUGGGUUGUCAGGAGGUGGGAUCUGGGCUGAGAGAAAUCGCCUGGUUCAGGGCCUGGAAGCCUUCAUCUCGCUGCCUCUGCUCCCGGGACCCUGCUUUCUCUCUGCCAGGCCCCUCUGCCAUGCCGCGCCGCCUUCUGAGCUGCUGACUAGGGACUGAAACCUCUCCUCCUCGGUUAACUUGUGUGUGUCCGGUAGCGUGUCUCGGUGACCAAGUCACUCCCCUCGAGGUCCUGCCCUCGACACCUGCACGGCACGCUUCCCUCGGGCCGUAGCAGCUCUCAGAUGAUUUCCCAAGAUGAGAAGGCUCUCAUUUGCAUCAUUUCAAAUAACAUUCUUCACGUUUGUUCUGAUUGGGUUUGUGUAAAGGAUGUAUUCAUAACCAACCUGUAGAACCAUGGAAAUGACUAUCCUCAUUGGGUUUAAUCCAAACAAAAUCCCCUCCCAAAGGUACAAGUGACCAAAAGAGAAAGGAGGAAAGGAACACAGUUCAGAAACCCAUCUGUGCCCUCAUCCCACAGUUAUGACUACUUCAAGGACCAAACUACUACUGCAAACAAAACAGGGUAUUGGAGCAAAACAUUAAAAUAAAGACUCAUCAUCAGUACUAACUCCCAUUCUGUCCCUCAUAAUGUGCAUUACUGAAAAGAAAAUUGUCUUCAAUAAAUUGUAAGGGUUUAUGCUCUAAAUAUUUCAUAGAUUUCUUAUAACACUUCUAGGUCACUUAUCAGAAAUUGCAUCCUUUUAUGGAAACUACAGGUUACGGAUUCUAUCUGGAUGUCACCCUCAAGCCGCUUGCACCCAGAGGUGAGGGCUUCCAGAGGGUGACUGGGUGAUGGGGGUGCUACGCCAGGCUUGGUGUCAGGAUGUGGGCCUGGUUGGAAGAGGUGGGUCAGCGCGGGUGUGACCUGGGAGGGUGUACCUUGCUCCCUGGCCCACACUUUACCAUGUGCCUCCUGGCCUCCACCAGGCAAGCAGCAUUUCUAUCAAUGUGCACCUCUGACAUGCCACCCUGCCAUCCUGGAACUAGCUAACUAUGAACUGAAGUGUGAGCUGAAACAAACCUCUCUUCCCUUAAUGUGUAGUGCUGAGUAUUGUGUUCAGGGACGAGCAAGUGGGUGAUACAGAUGUUGGUACAAGAAGUCUGGUCACUGCAGCGACUGUACCUCACCAGGUGGUUCAGAGGCCUGUGGAAGUGGUCCGCAGCACUUUGGAAAGGUUGGGAGAUGCCAGCUCCUGGAGAAGCAGCCCUAGAAUGCUCUAAUCUGAGCUUGAUGGAAGAUUCUGGUCCGAGCACAGAAGACCGGAGUGCAGAUAGAUUGCAGAUGAGAAAGGCCAGACUUAGGAGGUUUCAGUUGAGAAGAAGGAUGCCAGUGGCCGUUGGAUCCAGGCCAUGUGUGUUGUGCUCCGGCAGAAAAUAUGACUGUAUUGUGUUCAUGUCCUGAGAUGUGUGUGAGACCGAUACUAAGGGUGGAAGAAUCAUUCAUCUGAUGGAGAAAAUAUCAAGGUAGCCUAACUAUCAGGCCGUAGCAUGGAUGCUGCUUGCUACUUUGAGCCAGGUUUGUGCUGAAAAUGAGGAGCAAAAGCCCAUUUAAAAACUUUUCAGUCCCCCCCCCCCCCCCCCCAAGAAAGACCUGUAAAGAUGGAGCAAUGGACAGCCUGGUGGAUCAAAGAUUAGCAUUAAAAAGAAUCCAAGUACUUUACAAUAGGACAAUGGAAAAGAUGCCCUGAAGACAUAUAAGGAACCCACAAGGCCCAACCUUUCCAAGGCUCACAGUUGCAAAAGGGAAAGACUUUGUUUUGAGAGGAGAGCCCCAGGGCACCCUGCUUGAGAAGGGCCACCUCGGCCGGGUUCCCUGGGAUUCAUUCAGUUCACGGUGCUCAGCCAUCCAGGCCCAUGGAUGCUUCUGCAGCCACGAUGCACAAAGGCCUAAGGACUGCUUGGAGCCAGUGGUAGAACUUUGUGUCAUCUGCAGGGUGCUGUUUUCACGGGUAUGCAGAACGCAAGAGUUGAGUCAGGAAGGCUUCCACCCAAAUUUCAAAAGAAGGCCUGGCAGGCCAGGCUGGGUGUCCCUGAGAGGGCAGUGCAUGCAGCUGUGAGAGUUAAGCCGAAGGUGCACUGGAGAACGCAGGAUGAGGGUGCAGUCAGGAACAUGGAACACCUGCGGAAAGCCACGCACCCAAACAUGUAACCCUCAUCUAAUCAGGAAGGAGACAUCGGGAAAACUUAAAUUGAGGGACAUUCUAUAAGAUAUCAGCUCAGUCAUCCUCCAAACUGUCAGCUCAUACAAAACGAAAAAAGGAAAAAUUGUGAAAACAUCAGUCAAGAGGCGUCUGAGGGAUGCAACGAUGAAAUGCAAUGUGGCAGCCCGGACGGGACUGCAGAUUGUUGUGGAGAGCAAGUGGUGAAGGUGGAUCUUAGUUAGUAAUUAUACAUCAGUAUUUGCUCCCUACUUGUACAGGAUGUACUAGACUAAUGGAUGACAUUAAUGGCAGGAAAUGGAAGAACUGGGUGGCCAUCUUAAUUGUAUAUAAAUCUAAAACUCGUAAUAUAUAUAAGCUGUACUAUGAGUUGUUGUUGUUUUGGUAUUUUAGGUUUUUCUCUCCUUUGGUACCGGGGAUUGAACUCAGGACCUUGUGGUGGUGAGGCGGGCAUGGUGCCACUGAGCUGAAUCCCUGGCCCUUCAAGCUCUGUUAUGUACACGUAGCCACUCCCCAAGUGAUUGUGAACUGCACAACAAAAAUAAACAACAGUGUAAACAGCAGGCCUACUUUCUAACACUGAAUCUCCCACCCUCAGCCAUAAUACAACCCUAAAUGUAUUCCUAAACCUCAACCAAAUUCCAACAAAAGCCGCAACCCAAACUGCACCUUGCCCCUUGGUCCUAAGCCACUUCCUCACCCUAAAUGUAGCGAAAUUGUGAGGAUGCGACCUCACUUGCUUGGUAUUAGAACCCAGCGAAACUGGGUGCCCUUCGGAAUCUGUCUCCCAUCCUGACCCCUUGGAGGGAGACAGAGAAGAGGGGAGGACGAGCUGUUGUCAUUUUCCCGCUCUCCGACGGUCUAGCCACAGAAAGGACCGCCAUCCGAGCCUUUUCCGACCUUGGCUCAGCUCUGGCCACAGGUGUUUCCAGCUAAUGUUCAGGAGGAACCCACAUGUGAGAGAGGCAGUGCAGUGCCCGUCCUGGACGUCCGCGC
ensembl:lncRNA